rnacentral:rRNA from 1 species
UACGUAGGGUGCAAGCGUUAAUCGGAAUUACUGGGCGUAAAGCGUGCGCAGGCGGUGAUGUAAGACAGAUGUGAAAUCCCCGGGCUCAACCUGGGAACUGCAUUUGUGACUGCAUCGCUGGAGUGCGGCAGAGGGGGAUGGAAUUCCGCGUGUAGCAGUGAAAUGCGUAGAUAUGCGGAGGAACACCGAUGGCGAAGGCAGCUCACUGGCCCGGUACUGACGCUGAGGCGCGAAAGCGUGGGGAGCAAACAGG